rnacentral:snoRNA from 1 species
UCGGUCACGGGUAAGAGCUGCUGUUUCAGGCGAACUAGCCAUGUGCUGGAGCUCUACCCUGUGUGACCUAGAUUAUAUCAGAGGGGUCUCCCGGAGGCCGUUCUGGCAGUAGCAGGUGUGAGCAUGUAUACAGCUGUUUGAUGCUCAUGUAUAAUACUGCACACAGGU